UCACAGUUUGCACCGGCAGUCUCCUUAGAGUUCCCGCCAUUACGCGCUGGCAACUAAGGACAAGGGUUGCGCUCGUUACGGGACUUAACCCAACAUCUCACGACACAAGCUGACGACAGCCAUACAGCACCUGUCACUGAGCUCCCGAAGGCACCAAUCUAUCUCUAGAAAGUUCUCAGGAUGUCAAGAGUAGGUAAGGUUCUUCGCGUUGCUUCGAAUUAAACCACAUGCUCCACCGCUUGUGCGGGCCCCCGUCAAUUCAUUUGAGUUUUAACCUUGCGGCCGUACUCCCCAGGCGGUCUACUUAGUGCGUUAGCUGCGCCACCAAAACCUCAAGGGUCCCGACGGCUAGUAGACAUCGUUUACGGCGUGGACUAC
rnacentral:misc_RNA from 1 species